UAAUUUCUUCAUCUACUCGCAUUUGUAAAGUGUUUAUGCUUAAUGGAAUCAAUUCCAUUAACAAUAAAUAUGGAUAAAUAUGAGCGGUUAUUUUUUUUCCCUUUUGGUUCUCCAUAACUGCCCUUUCUAAUUAAUUUGUCUCACAUAUAUAAAGAGACUAUUCAACAAUACAAUUCAUUUCCAACUUUUCAUUUACAUCGUUCCAGAAUAUACCUACCAAAAGAAAUGGGUGACAAGCGGCAGUUUGGUGGACAUAGCAAGUAUGAAAUCCUCAUCAAUCCGCCCAAGAACAUGAAUGAGCGUCUUAUAGACGUCCAUUUUCUUUUGAUGGAAAUGGCUGAGAAACUAGACAAGAUUAUGGACGACCAGGCUGAGUUGAAAGCGAGGACGGAGACAUUGGAGGCGAUGGCCAGGGCUACGGUCAGAGGCAUUGGCAUAGAACUUGAUGAAGUCUUACCCCCCUCACUCCCACCUGUUCCUAAGGCUGUGUGAAUCUUUUGCCAGGGUUAGUAUAAGUAUGCUUUGGGAUUGAUGUUGUUGUUUUGGUUUGUAUUGGGGGAUAUUAAAUAUAAAAUCAUGAAAAUUUUAGUUUGUUCGCCAAAAAUUCUUUUUAUGUUAGUUGUUAUGUUAGAGAAAAUUAUAUAAACAAAAAAAUAUGAUUAUUAAUAUAAAUUACACUGCUAUGGAUUUUAUUUGAAC